UUAUUGUGUAUGUGUACAUAUUUAAGAGCCAACAAAGACAUAGAGACACUCUUAUCCGCAAAACCAUAGAUCAAUCCACGACACAAAUUCUUAACUUUCGUGGAAAAAUAGGAAACAAAAUGGAGAAUUCAACGGAAAGGACCAACAAGCUGACUGAUGAACCUGAUGUUCAUUCUCAUUCUACUCUCUGUGAUUGCCUCCUACACUUUUUCAUCGCCAUUUUGAGGUCUUUCGGAUUUAAUCACCAUGGACGUUACCGACCAACACCCGAUGAAUCUGAGGAGGAAAGUGAGUACUUCAAAGGACAUGCUCCUCCUCCACCGCCGUGGAGCACCGGCGGCGGUGGUCAAACCGACUAAGAUAUUGUAACUAGCAUCGCCUCGUUUUAGAUCUGUGUAGCAAUGUAAUAUGUAUUGGGCUUCCCAAAAAACACUAUCUCUAAACCCUAAAAAUAGUGUAUGAAGUAGCAGUGGGUUUAUAAUCAAAGAACACUAUCUCUAUGGGUACGAGGCUUUUUGGGCUUCCCAAAAAGCAAAGCAUGAGAGCUUAUGCUCAAAGUGAAGAAUAUCAUCCCAUUGGAGAAAAUCGUAUUCAUCUAA